UCGUCUAGCAGAUCAGCUUUUUGUUUGUGUUAUGUUCCAACUAAAAUGUAAGACGAACAAAAAGUUUGUCUGUUAGGUG
rnacentral:pre_miRNA from 13 species